UCAAUGGAAAACCACUUCUAGCCGCUUCAGAAAGGCAGUCACAAAAUCGCAUGUUCAACAGCAGUUCAAACUGGAAUUUUGAUGACAUACCAAAUUGAGCACUCAGAAUGAAGGUGUGUAGCGUGUGAUCGUCGCAUUGACCAUGACAGAGAAAUUUGUCUUGGUGAUACGUGCUCAGAGGCCUACGCAAAGUCGCAGAAAGUGUAUGGAGAGGAGUGUAUGAGCCGCACACAAGUUUCCAAGGUUCGGACGCUUCCAAGAUGGCCGAAAAAUGUCGAUAUUGACGAACGUUCUGGGAGACCCGCAACUAGCAGAACUGAGAAAAACAUUUCAGAUGUGCGUCCAGAUUCUUCAGUUUCUGGGUAAACCACGCUAAUAGCGCUUCUUCUCUCUAAGAACAACGGGACGUGGAAAAGGCCUUAGCGAUGAAGAAAAGUCUGUCAUUAUCAAGAAAAGUGCUAAAGGCACCUCUGUUCAUGUCAUUACUACUACUACUAUUAUUAUUAUUAUUAAUAUUAUUAUUAUUUGCUGCUGAAUACGUAAGACGUUCUUUCGAACACGCUUUAGUUAUGCUUUAAACUGUGUGUUUUACGCCCUCUUUACGUUAUUAAGUUUUGUUAUAAACUGACAAUAAGAACAUCAGAAACAUUUUGGCAAGGUUCCGGUCGUUGUUUCUGCCCCGGAGGGAGUAGUAUUUAUUCAUUUUAUUAUCUAUUACACCCAGAAAUCUCUUGUGUAAAAAGAAAUGAAGGAAAAAAACUAUCAGUUUUAAAUGUGAACAGAAAUUGCAUCUAUAUGCCAAGGGGAAGACGUUCUAAAAUGAAGUUUAGAAGACGUGGCCCUCUUACAGAAAAGCAGACAAUAAUAAAUAAAUAAAUAAAUCUAUUAAUCCAA